rnacentral:rRNA from 1 species
GUCUGGUUAAUUCCGAUAACGAACGAGACUCUGGCUUGCUAUAUAGUCCGGCCACCCGUCGUGGUGCGCCGCGUCUAACUUCAUAGAGGGACAAAUGGCUCUCAGCCAUACGAGAUAGAGCAAUAACAGGUCUGUGAUGCCCUUAGAUGUCCGGGGCCGCACGCGCGCUACACUGGCGCAAGCAGCGGGUACAUUUGCCCUCGGCCGACAGGUCUGGGUAAUCCGCUGAGAUUCCGCCGUGCUGGGGACAGGGACUUGUAAUUGUGUCCCUUGAACGAGGAAUUCCAAGUAAACGCGAGUCAUCAGCUCGCAUUGA